UGGUUCUCGCAUCGAUGAAGAACGCAGCGAAACGCGAUAAGUAAUGUGAAUUGCAGAAUUCCGUGAAUCAUCGAAUCUUUGAACGCACAUUGCGCUCCCUGGCAUUCCUAGGAGCAUGUCUGUCUGAGCGUCAGUACACACCCUCCGUCGUCUCCUUUUGCGAGGGGACGAUCGGGUCCUGAGGUAGCUCGAGGCUCAACCCCUCGGACCCUCUAAAGUGGAAAGCCAGCGGCCCGCCAGCCCUCGAAAGACGUAGUAAUGAGAAAUCAGUCGUCCGCGAAGGGGUCACGGCUUGGGCUCGCCCAACGCAUACUCUCAGAGGUCUUGACCUCAGAUCAGACAAGAAUACCCGCUGA
rnacentral:misc_RNA from 1 species